UAGCUACGUUAACCGGUGUGAAUUGCAGAACACGCCGAGCACUUGAUUUUCGAACGCACAUUGCAGCUAAGAGUCUUCUCUUGGCUACGUUUGUCUGAGUGUCGGAUAAGACAUUGAAAUCCCAUAAUUCAGGCUGAGGGUGAAAGCUAGAUGUUACAAUCUCUGCUUUCUCGCUCGGCAUUUGAUUGCACUUCGUGUGUUUUUACAAACACCGGGUCUUGCUAGAGUGUAUUCUAUCCCCUGCGGAUGCGAAGUUCUCUAGAUACAAGACUAUAGUGUCCGAUCUGAUUACUUUCACAUGUCGACCUCAGAUCAAGCGAGAUUACCCGCUUAACUUAA
rnacentral:misc_RNA from 1 species